UUUAUCAUCCUCAGAAACUACAAUACAGAUGUUAGAUUUCUAUAUUUAUCACACCUUAAAAUUGAGAAUGUCACUGUAAUCAUACUUGUUUGAUUAAAUAUAUUUUGUGGAGUAUGUUACAUUUUAGGUCUAGUAAAGCAUGUCAAAAGAAUCAUGAUACAGGUUUGGUAUACAGUGGUUUAGGAACAGCUGUUGAACAGUUGAAGGGGCUUCUAUGAAGCUACCAAUGAUAAAAUCUUGAUGGAAUGAGAUCAUUAUUAGAUGAUAGUCUGCAGAAACCCUGGCCUGAAUAUUUUCAACAGUAUGAAAUGAAUAUUCCAAAUCAAAUUAUUUAUAUUACUGUGAUUAGAUGUUCCACCUGUCUGUUUAUUAUUUGUUAGGUGAUGUUAAUGUAUGAAAAUAUGUAGCCAUGCCUAUGUUAUUGUAUUGAUAUAAUAUGCCAGAAUGGCAGGGCAAAAACAUGAA
rnacentral:misc_RNA from 1 species